CUUCAGGAAAAUUAGUUUGUCAGGUAUAGAGCCAGUGUCACUAAUCUUAGUGGGCCUCAGCAGGACUUGAGACUGGCCAUUGUUGGAGUGGGGAGAAGACCUUCUGAUAUGGAUGUUGAACCAUCCCUGCUGCCUUGGAAUAAAUCCCACUUGAUCAUGGUGUCAGUUUUGCCAAGAUCAUAGAAGGGGCCUCAAUAUGUGAUAAACUAACUACGAUAAGGAAAUGGAAACUGAAGCAGCACAAUAUGAACAAGGAAGAAUUGUCAUCAAUCACUCAAGCCAACAGACGCCACCAGCUUUGGAAAAGAUUUUAGCAUUUUAUGCCCAUCUGUUUCUUAAUCUACUUAAUACAUGC
rnacentral:lncRNA from 1 species